CGGGGCGUAGCUCAGCCUGGCAGAGCGCUACAAUGGGGUUGUAGAAGUCGCUGGUUCGAAUCCAGUCGCCCCGA
rnacentral:tRNA from 1 species